rnacentral:lncRNA from 10 species
GGCGGGCGCCCCUCCCCCAGCCUAACUGCUGCCUUGCAGUUUGAUCUCAGACUGCUGUGCUAGCAAUCAGGAGACUCCGUGGGCGUAGGACCCUCCAAGCCAGGUGCCGGAUAUAAUCUCGCGGUGCGCCAUUUUUUAAGCCCGUCGGAAAAGCGCAGUAUUUGGGUGGGAGUGACCCGAUUUUCCAGGUGCCAUCCGUCACCCCUUUCUUUGACUCGGAAAGGGAACUCCGUGACCCCUUGCGCUUCCCAAGUGAGGCAAUGCCUCGCCCUGCUUCGGCUCGCGCUCGGUGCGCGCACCCACUGACCUGCGCCCACUGUCUGGCACUACCUAGUGAGAUGAACCCGGUACCUCAGAUGGAAAUGCAGAAAUCACCGUCUUCUGCGUCGCUCAUGCUGGGAGCUGUAGACCGGAGCUGUUUGUAUUCGGCCAUCUUGGCUCCUCCCCACAAAGAGUCCUGCUCUGUUGGAGGCUGGAGUGCAGUUGCUCAAUCUCAGCUCACUGGAACCUCUGCCUUCUGGAUUCAAGUGAUUAUCAGGCCUCAGCCUCCCCAGUAGCUGGGAUUACAGUUGGUGCUUCUCCUCAAGGAACCUACUUUGUCUUAUCCUGCCUGCCCCACCACACAGAACUGAUGCUUUGUAGCUGCCCGCACUGUCCAGAUCCAGGAAGAGGAGGAGACGGGAGAGGGCUAAAGUCUUCAUUACCAGCUGUGCUUUGUUUGCUCUCUGAGAAGGGAUCGUUCUCAGAUUAACAGCGAGGCUAAUGAGUUAGCCUAGCUGGUGCAUCAGUAUCACCUGAAAAGCUUCUGAGGCCACAGAUUGCUGGGGAUUACCCAUGGCUACUCUUCAUUCAGUAGGUCUGGGGUGGGGCCAGAGACUUUGAGUGUUAGGCAACUUAUAAGAGAUUGCUGCUGGUCCCUGAACCAUACUUUGUGAACCUCUGAUUUAGCCCAAUGUUCAUAAAAGAUGAUAUGUUUAUGUUGUACAAGGAUGGACAAUUUAAAAAAAUCUAUUUGGAAAGCACGAAAAUAGAAGUCCAGGAUGUAAACCUGCCACUGUAGCUUCUUAAGAAUGGUAGGAAAUGCAUCCCCUUUUGCCCAUACAACCACAGCACCGUGGGAAGGCUACUGUGCAGGACUCUUGCUUUUCAGGGUCUAGGAGCUCAAGGAACAAGAUAUAGACCCAAUGUGCAGGGUCCCAGGCAGCCCUAGUUUUAGACAGUUCCUUUCCUUACCCCAACCUUACAACCAGUAGGUGAUCAGGAAAUGGGCCCUUACUACAGAGGUUCACAAUGUGUGGCUGUGAUUAUUUUUAGGGUUCAUAAAGUCAAAACUAUUUUUAUAAUAAUAAUACUAUUUAGACAUUAAUUGCCCUUUGAAAUUUUAUUAUCCCAUGAGUAUACAGGAGAUUUUCCCAGGGGCUACAUGACAUGAAAUAUCACAAAAGAUUGAAUAGAGAAGCAGAUGUGAGAAUCCAGAUGACUUCUACUAAGCCAGACAUUAAAGUGAUUUGUAAAUAUGUAAUCAAAGCCACUCUUUUAUUUAUUUUUAUGGUUUUGGAAAGUAUACUUAUUUUUAUAGAAAUAUUACAUUACCAGUUAUUGUUUUAUAAUUGUUAAAUUAUUAAUAAAUAGAUAUUUGUUUUUCAGCUUUAAUUUCUAAUACAGCAUAUCUUGACAUUAAAAAACCCACAUCAACAA